rnacentral:tRNA from 1 species
GUUUUUGUAGUUGAGGAAUUCAACGACGGUUUUUCAGGCCGUAGACCUUGGAUAGGCUCCAAGCAAGAACU